rnacentral:rRNA from 1 species
AUUGAACGCUGGCGGCAUGCCUUACACAUGCAAGUCGAACGGUAACAGGUCUUCGGAUGCUGACGAGUGGCGAACGGGUGAGUAAUACAUCGGGAACGUGCCCGAUCGUGGGGGAUAACGCAGCGAAAGCUGUGCUAAUACCGCAUACGAUCUACGGAUGAAAGCGGGGGACUCGCAAGGGCCUCGCGCGGACGGAGCGGCCGAUGGCAGAUUAGGUAGUUGGUGGGAUAAAAGCUUACCAAGCCGACGAUCUGUAGCUGGUCUGAGAGGACGACCAGCCACACUGGGACUGAGACACGGCCCAGACUCCUACGGGAGGCAGCAGUGGGGAAUUUUGGACAAUGGGCGCAAGCCUGAUCCAGCCAUGCCGCGUGCAGGAUGAAGG